ACCCAAUCGCACACAACGGAUCCUCAGUCACAUUAACAAGCCAAAUAAACUCAAUAAUAGAUUCACUGAUUGAAUGGAAUGGUAAGCCAAGAGAAGACAAUGGAACAUGAUAGUAACUGGAGUCACGAACUUUCACUAUGUUGUUUAUGCCAACACUAAGACAAUGUAUUCUCAUUUAAUUAAGUUUGGUAUACUUAGUGAAGGAA